GGGUCACACGGCACUAUCUCCGCUCCAUUCCCAAAAGUACUUGUAGGUCUUCGUUGAUGCUCGAGGUUCUCAUCGCCGCUCCCAAUGCCGCGUAGGCUGCCGCUGCCUCUAUGAUCGUCUUUCCUCCUUCCCGCCUACUACGGACCAUGUUCACCCGGAGGGGCUCGCGGGAGUGGAGGCCAGCGGCGUCGACGCCCGUCUUCCUCAACGUCUACGACCUCUCCCCCAUCAACGGCUACGCCUACUGGCUCGGCCUUGGCGCGUAUCACUCCGGCGUCCAAGUGCACGGGGUGGAGUACGCCUAUGGGGCACACGAGCACGCCGCGACAGGGAUCUUUGAGGGGGAGCCGCGCCGUUGCCCGGGGUUCGUUUUCCGGAAGGCCAUCCUCAUCGGGCGCACCGAUAUGGGGCCGCGCGAGGUGCGGGCGCUCGUGGAGGGCAUGGCAGCAGAAUACUCCGGCAGCGCCUACAACCUAAUCUCCAAGAAUUGCAACCACUUCUGUGACGACGCCUGUUUCCGCCUCACCGGCAAAUCCAUCCCCAAGUGGGUCAACCGUCUAGCCAAAAUAGGGUUCCUAUGCAAGUGCGUGCUUCCCACCAGAGUGGCGGAGGUGCGGAGGCACGGGGCGUACGAUGAGCAUGGCGUCCUGCAAGCCGACAAGUGGCGACCGAGGAGCAACUCCGCCAGAUUCCCUCCGGCGAUCACCGCGACGCCCCGCAGCAACAUAUCGCAGCCUACGGUCACCAUCUCCUCCCUAUCGGAGGGGCGAAGGAAGCUCAGGCGCUCCGCCUCGCUGUCCUCCGCCGUAGGUGAAAGUUCGUCGUUAGCCGCGUAAACGCCGGCGUCGGCGAUUUUUUCAUCUUCGUCCUCGGGGCAACCCUUCUCGGGCUACCAGAAGGAACUGGCGCCAUGAAAUGCUACUACUGCCCGUCAAAGUGUAAACACUAUGGUACGGUUGUUGAACGCUCGUUGUCUCCACCGGUUGGACCAAGUUCAAAAUCGAAAUAUAACAAAUGGAAAUAUUUCUGAACUAAUUGUACUUUUCAAUAAAAAUCGAAGAACAUAAGUAAGCAGAC